GCGUCCGGAGCCUGUGCUCCGCAACGGGAGAGGCCACAACAGUGAGAGGCCCGCGAAACACACACACAAAAAAAAAAAAAAAAGAAUGGAUCUGAACUCAGGGGUACCCUAUUCCAUAGUCAGUGCUCCUAACCUCGAUGCUAUUCUGUCUUGAUGCUGCAUUUCGAAACGUGCUUCUGAUUCCCUGCAGAUCUUCUCUAUGUGCCUAACACAUACCUACAGACAAAGGACAUUCAAAUUUGCUUUCUGACAACAGCAUGUUAGAAGGACUCUUGAAAAUCAUUUUGCCAACAGGAGUUCUCAUUUGGCUUGUUUACGUUUGUCAUAUAAGCCUUAAGCUUAUAACAUUCUAAACUGAAACACCAAAGAAGCAGGAUGCCCAAGAUCUCACAGUACUGCAAUGAAAACACCCACAAUCCUCUGUGUAAUGAGAUGAAAAUAAGUAAAUGAAAGAGAGGAAUGCUUUUCCAGAAAUCCAUCUUGUGCUCAUGGACAGAGAGCUGCAGCAUGUGGUCAGUUCCUGCACCUUCGGUCAGUUCCUAAGAGCCAAAGAAACAGUAUUUGAACAUGACUUUGAUCUACAGUGACCACAGCCAAAGAUUGUUUAUGUGGAGACCUACUAUUCUUCCUGGAUUCCAUCCUGCAUUAAAAGAUGAGUAUAAUUGUAUUGUAGAAAAGCACCUGGAGAUAUAUAAUCCUGGAGUCUUUCUGAACAUCUCUUUAUGUAAUGAAAUCUGUGAAGGGUAAAUAUGUUGAUCAGGAUA